AUAUGUGAAGCAAAAAAUUUACCUGUAGAAUAGCCCCAGGAUGUGAUGUGACGAGUCCUCGACAACACAGACCCCACACAAAGUAAUACUACCCAGAAGAAGACCUUGUAUAAGACGGAUAGAACUAACAAACUUGAAAAUAAUUAUUGACGAUACGCAUUCGGUAAAGCACACUAUGUUCAACACAAUAGACCUAGACUUUAAGAACUCUGUGACUUGGUGGGCCACAUCGUUAAAAUGGAAGAAGGAGCACAGUCUUCAAAUCGCCAGCCACCCCUCAAAUUUGUAUUUUACUUUAGGACCAAGUACGAAACUUCCACUGUUCAACACGCACUCUAGGAAUUUCUAUGCUUCAGAUGCAAAUACGUAAUUUCACUUUUUAACGGACACGCCACCAACUUUAAAGAUUCAAUUAAGUAAUCUUUUUAAAUAAUUAGUUAUGAGGAAAUUCUUAGCUUACCCUUAACAUGAAAGCUUCCACAGAAAUAGGACGUCUAUUACUAUCCUGAGGAUGAGCUAUUCCAGGUAUCCACACACAACUGGGGACUGCGCGAUUUGGGACUUGCAAAUAAAUAUUGAACUAUGCAUCGAAUUAUAUUAUCAUACCUGCGAAAUGCUGAAGUACACCUCUUAUUGAAAUAAUCUAUUUAACCAAACGAAGUAUAUGAAGAAGUUAAUGUUAUACCUUAUAUCAUAUUACAUAAAUGAACAAUUUUGUAAUCACAAUUUAAA